rnacentral:rRNA from 1 species
GCAGUCGUGGGGCAGCAGUCCCGCAGCAAUGCGGGAGCUGGCGACCGGCAAACGGGUGCGGAACACGUACACAACCUUCCUUUAAGUGGGGAAUAGCCCGGGGAAACCCGGAUUAAUACCCCGUAAUAUAAUGGAGUGGCAUCACUUUAUUAUUAUAGCUCCGGCGCUUUAAGAUGGGUGUGCGACUGAUUAGGCAGUUGGCGGGGUAACGGCCCACCAAACCUACGAUCAGUAACUGGUGUGAGAGCACGACCAGUCACACGGGCACUGAGACACGGGCCCGACUCCUACGGGAGGCAGCAGUAAGGAAUAUUGGUCAAUGGACGCAAGUCUGAACCAGCCAUGCCGCGUGGAGGAUGAAGGUCCUCUGGAUUGUAAACUUCUUUUAUCUGGGAAGAAACCCACGAAUUCUUUUGUGGUUGACGGUACCAGAUGAAUAAGCACCGGCUAACUCCGUGCCAGCAGCCGCGGUAAUACGGAGGGUGCAAGCGUUAUCCGGAUUCACUGGGUUUAAAGGGUGCGUAGGUGGGUUGGUAAGUCAGUGGUGAAAUCUCCAGGCUUAACUUGGAAACUGCCAUUGAUACUAUCAAUCUUGAAUGCCGUGGAGGUCAGCGGAAUAUGUCAUGUAGCGGUGAAAUGCUUAGAUAUGACAUAGAACACCAAUUGCGAAGGCAGCUGGCUACACGAAUAUUGACACUGAUGCACGAAAGCGUGGGGAUCAAACAGGAUUAGAUACCCUGGUAGUCCACGCCCUAAACGAUGGAUACUCGACAUACGCGAUAUACUGUGUGUGUCUGAGCGAAGCAUUAAGU